rnacentral:rRNA from 1 species
CUUAUGAAGUUAGCGGCGGACGGGUGAGUAACACGUGGGUAACCUGCCCAUAAGACUGGGAUAACUCCGGGAAACCGGGGCUAAUACCGGAUAACAUUUUGAACUGCAUGGUUCGAAAUUGAAAGGCGGCUUCGGCUGUCACUUAUGGAUGGACCCGCGUCGCAUUAGCUAGUUGGUGAGGUAACGGCUCACCAAGGCAACGAUGCGUAGCGACCUGAGAGGGUGAUCGGCCACACUGGGACUGAGACACGGCCCAGACUCCUACGGGAGGCAGCAGUAGGGAAUCUUCCGCAAUGGACGAAAGUCUGACGGAGCAACGCCGCGUGAGUGAUGAAGGCUUUCGGGUCGUAAAACUCUGUUGUUAGGGAAGAACAAGUGCUAGUUGAAUAAGCUGGCACCUUGACGGUACCUAACCAGAAAGCCACGGCUAACUACGUGCCAGCAGCCGCGGUAAUACGUAGGUGGCAAGCGUUAUCCGGAAUUAUUGGGCGUAAAGCGCGCGCAGGUGGUUUCUUAAGUCUGAUGUGAAAGCCCACGGCUCAACCGUGGAGGGUCAUUGGAAACUGGGAGACUUGAGUGCAGAAGAGGAAAGUGGAAUUCCAUGUGUAGCGGUGAAAUGCGUAGAGAUAUGGAGGAACACCAGUGGCGAAGCCGACUUUCUGGUCUGUAACUGACACUGAGGCGCGAAACCGUGGGAGCAAACAGGAUUAGAUACCCUGGUAGUCCACGCGUAAACGAUGAGUGCUAAGUGUUAGAGGGUUUCCGCCCUAAGUGCUCAGGUAACGCAUUAAGCACUCGCCUGGGGAGUACGGCCGCAAGGCUGAAUUCAAGGAUUGACGGGGCUCGCACAAGCCGUUGCAGCAUGUGUUAAUUGAAGCAACGCGAAGAACUACCAGGUCUGACAUCCUCUGAAAACCCUAGAGAUAGGGCUUCUCUUCGGGAGCAGA